rnacentral:rRNA from 1 species
UACGAAGGGGGCAAGCGUUAAUCGGAAUUACUGGGCGUAAAGCGUGCGCAGGCGGCUUUGCAAGACAGAUGUGAAAUCCCCGGGCUCAACCUGGGAACUGCAUUUGUGACUGCAAGGCUAGAGUACGGCAGAGGGGGAUGGAAUUCCGCGUGUAGCAGUGAAAUGCGUAGAUAUGCGGAGGAACACCAAUGGCGAAGGCAAUCCCCUGGGCCUGUACUGACGCUCAUGCACGAAAGCGUGGGGAGCAAACAGG